rnacentral:tRNA from 1 species
GGGUAGGUAUAUAAAUUAUACAAUUGUUUUGAAAACAUAAGUAGGCUACUAAUAUAGCCCCUUCCCA